rnacentral:miRNA from 10 species
UCCAUUAGGUUGGUGCAAAAGGAAUCAGGGAUUUUGCCAUUACUUUCAGUGGCAACAAUCACAAUUACUUUUGCACCAACCUAACACUU